AGGGGGAAGAUCAGUGUGGGAGGUGUCUGUCCCCUAAAGGCGAGACUUUAAGAUACUAUAACAGCGUGCAGUGAACCUUGGCGUCUGCGUUGAUCCUGCUCUGCUGGCUGCUGCGCUUACUUGCAGGUCUGAAGGGAAAAUCCAGUCUGAAAACCUUACCAAAAAUUAAAGAAAAGCUUGAAGCGACCCAAGCGACCCAUUCAUCCAAUCAAAGCACUCUAGUGCAUGUCAAAGAGGUGACCAACAUAGAAGAAACUGAAGAGAAAACAGGAGAAAGCACUGUACUGCUGAAGGAAUCUUCAGUAAUCAACUUUGAAAGUAAAGAAAGUUUGAAAAAUGCUGAAGUGACUUCAAGUACAGAAUUGACUCUUCCCACAGGUGUUUCAACCUUUCUACUAGAGUGUUUAGAUGUAGAUUCCACUGCAGACUAUAACACAGGCUCUAAUGACAGCAUGAACAAUUGCUCAUCCCCUGAAACAUUCAGAGAUGAAGAUAUUUCAGAUAGAAGUAACCUUUUCUCUGAGGACUGUGUCAAAUAUAAGAACUCAACUCUCCUGGACUCCAGCAAAGCAAUGACCAUAGACAAGAUGCCACAGAUCUCAAAUCUGUCAGCAAUAUUAGAACCUAUGCUGGAGGAUUUUCAAGACCAAUACACUAGAAGAAAUAAACCAUCAAAAUGCAAUUACAGUUCUUCAGCAUUAAAUGUUUCAACUACUCUAGCAGGUAAAAUAUGA
rnacentral:lncRNA from 1 species